rnacentral:rRNA from 1 species
CGGUGGCGCAAGGGUGAGUAAGGCGACGGCAACCAACCCCGAGGCCGGGCAUAGCCGAGAGAAAUCUCGGGUAAUUCCCGGCGAGGCCGCAGUGGGGGCAUCCCCGCCCGGUCAAAGGUGCGAUUCCGCCUCGGGACGGACCGUCGUGGUAUUAGGUUGUUGGCGGGGUGACGGCCCACCAAGCCGAUGAUGCCUACCGGGCGUGCGAGCGUGGCCCGGCACACUGGGACUGAGACACUGCCCAG